GUUCAUAUUAUAUCAGGAAGAGUAGCGGAUGCGUAUUUAUAGAGAGUGCAUGGUUGGUGAGAAUGCAUAGUGCAAUUUUGUGAAGGUAGCCUGGAGCGUUUAUUUGCUGAAUAAAGUAGGUUCAUACGUGUAAGAGCGUUAAUCUUUUGAGUGCAGUAGCAAUACUGAAUUUAGGUGGUACCGCGGUAGAUCCGUCCUAUAG
rnacentral:ncRNA from 1 species